CCUACGGGGGGCUGCAGUGGGGAAUAUUGGACAAUGGGCGAAAGCCUGAUCCAGCCAUGCCGCGUGUGUGAAGAAGGCCUUCGGGUUGUAAAGCACUUUCAGUGGGGAAGAAAGCCUUGGGGCUAAUACCCUCGAGGAAGGACAUCACCCACAGAAGAAGCACCGGCUAACUCCGUGCCAGCAGCCGCGGUAAUACGGAGGGUGCGAGCGUUAAUCGGAAUUACUGGGCGUAAAGCGCGCGCAGGCGGUCUGAUAAGCCGGUUGUGAAAGCCCCGGGCUCAACCUGGGAACGGCAUCCGGAACUGUCAGGCUAGAGUGCAGGAGAGGAAGGUAGAAUUCCCGGUGUAGCGGUGAAAUGCGUAGAGAUCGGGAGGAAUACCAGUGGCGAAGGCGGUCUUCUGGACUGACACUGACGCUGAGGUGCGAAAGCGUGGGUAGCAAACAGGAUUAGAUACCCCAGUAGUC
rnacentral:rRNA from 1 species